CAUUGCAGGAGUAACAAUUCUAAGAGCAAUAUUUUGGAUAACAUCAAGCUUUUUAAUAAUAUAGGACUAAUAUUCAUAUAUCCCAGACAACUAUAAUCAAAAUGACUACAUACUAAGCUUUUAUAUAAUAAACAAAGAAUUUUUGGAUCAGAACCCCAAAAAGUUCCUGCUAAGGACCGCAAAAUAUUGAUACCUUUCAAAGCUCUCCUACAAAUAUUGUCAAUGUGUUGGGUAAAUUUUAAUUUAGUGGCAAAAAUUACACCAAGAAACAUUUUUUUGCUAUUUUGAGGGAUUAAUUUAUUGUUAUACUUAACAUUUACAUUAUUUAUUUAGUAUCAAUACCAUAAGCUAAAACUGAACUUUUACUACUAUUUAUAUUUAAUUUAAGUAUCUCAGUAUAAUAGGAGUUAAGUUGACAUAAAGCUGAAUUAACUUUUGCUUGAGUAACCUGUAAAUUACUGCCUACACUAUAUUAUAUUAAGAUGUCAUCAGCAAAUUGUAAUAUUUUCACAGAUUCAGUCACAUAUCUAUUAUAUAUUUGUGAAGUAUAAAGGUUAUACAGGAUUAGAGAUAAAGAAGACCCUUGCAUCAACCCUUUGAAUGCUAAUUUUGGACCAUGAAAAACAUUAUUGUAUUUAAUAUAUAAAAAACUACCAUAAUACGUAUGGAAAAUCCAUUUUAAAAGCUUUCCUGGGAAGCCCAAAGAAUAUAGCACCCUAAUUAAUUGGUGAAGAUCUACAUUAUCAUAUGCCCCCUGAACAUCAAGGAAAACACAAAUUGCAGUAGAACCUGAUAACAAACACUUCUUCAUAUCAGUCAGCCUCGGCACAAGUAUCAUUCCAGCAAGGAGCUGGAGGAGCAGACUUUUUACUAGAAGAUUUAUGCUUUAACAAUGGAACACAGUUUUCUUUUAAACUAAGUAGUAAUUUAGAAAAUUCAUCAUAUUGAACUAAAGUAUCAAUUGUUGAAGGAGAAAAUUUAUCAAAUAUAUCUUUGGAUUUGUCAUUGUACAUA